rnacentral:rRNA from 13 species
UUACAUCUCUUCACGAGGAUCAAUUGGAGGGCAAGCCUGGUGCCAGCAGCCGCGGUAAUUCCAGCUCCAAUAGCGUAUAUUAAAGUUGUUGCAGUUAAAAAGCUCGUAGUUGAAUUUUGGGCCGGGCCGGGCGGUCGCUCGCAAGGGCCGUACUGCCUGUGCCUGGCCUUUCCUUCUAGGGAUCCUGCGUGCUCUUAGUUGAGUGCGCCGGGGAACUAGGACCUUUACUUUGAAAAAAUUAGAGUGUUCAAAGCAGGCCUUUGCUUGAAUACUUCAGCAUGGAAUAAUAGAAUAGGACUUUGGUUCUAUUUUGUUGGUUUCUAGGACCGAAGUAAUGAUUAAUAGGGAUAGUUGGGGGCAUUAGUAUUUAAUUGUCAGAGGUGAAAUUCUUGGAUUUCUUGAAGACUAACUACUGCGAAAGCAUUUGCCAAGGAUGUUUUCAUUAAUCAAGAACGAAAGUUGGGGGCUCGAAGACGAUCAGAUACCGUCCUAGUCUCAACCAUAAACGAUGCCGACCAGGGAUUGGCGGAUG